rnacentral:lncRNA from 1 species
ACCUCUCCACCCUCCCUAAAGUUAUUCAUCACAUAGUCACUUAUGAGAUUCUCCCUAGAGCGGGUCAUAGGACUGCUCUCUCCUACUCUGACAUGUUUGUAGUGUCCUGUCUGCUAGAGGGUCGAGCCCUUAACCUGCCACAUAUUAUGAUUCACUCUAUAGCAGACUCCCUUAGGCUGAGUCGAGGCUGUCUCCCCUUUGGUCGUCAUCUUACUCUUCUUCUCCGAGCUCUAGGGGUUGACCCAGGUACCGAGUCUACCUUACCCUUGUCUAGUGAGUAUACCCCUUACACUAAGGCUACCCUCCUCCACAUGGGUCUGACUAGGAGAGGCAAUGAAUUUUAUAAUUCUAGGAGAGAUUUUGCAGCCCACAGAGCAGCACAAGCAGCAGCAUAGGCACAUGAUGUUUCUGAUGAGGAGUCAGAUGAUGUUUCUCCUGCUGAUCUUGAGACAGAGCGAGCUCCCAGAGGCGAUGCUAGUACCGGGCGGUCCACCGAGCAGGGUACAUCUUCUCGGACUGCAUCUGAUCUGUAUGAUGCCAUGGGUCGUCUGGAGCUGCAGGUUGCUCAGAUGUCUGAUCGCCAGACUCAGAUAUCUGAUCGUCAGACUCAGAUGGAGCAGCAGUUAGCACGACUUACAGACAAGCAGCAGACCCUGAUCGAGCAGCAGAGACAGAUUUUGCACUUCCUUCAGCAGUCAUCUGGAGUGCCACCUCCUCAGUGAUUUUUCUUUGUUUAUAUAGUUGCUCUUAUUUUUUUU